UACGUAGGGGGCAAGCGUUGUCCGGAAUUAUUGGGCGUAAAGAGCGCGUAGGCGGUCCGAUAAGUCGGCUGUGAAAGUCAAGGGCUCAACCCUUGAAAGCCGGCCGAUACUGUCGGACUAGAGUCCGGAAGAGGCAAGUGGAAUUCCCGGUGUAGCGGUGAAAUGCGCAGAUAUCGGGAGGAACACCAAUGGCGAAGGCAGCUUGCUGGGACGGUACUGACGCUGAUGCGCGAAAGCUAGGGGAGCAAACAGG
rnacentral:rRNA from 1 species